rnacentral:lncRNA from 1 species
UUAAAAUCUAAAAUAGUUUUUCUUAAGAACCAAAUCGGAUAAAGUAAAAAAAAAACAAUUAAAAAAUUGGAUAAUAAGGAUAAUGGAAAAAACAUUUUAGUUAAUAUUGAUUUUGGGAAAUUUUACCUUUCAAAUUGGUUUGGAGAAAAAUCAACUUUUUAACCUAUUUAAGCAUGUUAUUGAUGUGAAUCGGUUUUUGAACCCAACCAACUCAAAUAAAAAUUGGUAAAGGAGUUUUAAGAACCAAAUUCAACCAUAUGUUUGUAUCGAUUUGGUUUCGUUUUAGAAUAAUGCAAAACCCUAAUUAUAAGGCAUCAAAGUUGGUUUAGCAAAAGUACUAGACACUAUCAUUGAGUUUGUUUCCAACUAAAAAGAAGGUCAAUGAAUCAAAAAGAGGGCCAAUGAACAGAGAUAGAGAUAGGACAUUCCAUGGCAAGAAUGACACUAUGAUAUCUUCAAAGAAUGCAUUACCAUUGCCAAGAUAGCAAACAAAACUUCCAAGAUAUUGACAAUUAUGAUCUUUAAAUAAUCGUCCACAAGAUGCAAUGUUAUGAGUUUUAAUUGAUGUUUAGUUAAUAUUCCUUUUGAUUCAUAUUAAAUUAUAGAAUUAUGUUGUUUUCUGUUUUUAAUCUCCAACUUCUUUUCCUAUUUUGGUGCAUAUAGUUAGGUUUAG